CCUACGGGAGGCAGCAGUGGGGAAUUUUGCGCAAUGGGGGGAACCCUGACGCAGCGACGCCGCGUGGGUGAUGAAGGCCUUCGGGUUGUAAAGCCCUGUUGGGGGGGAAGAUAGUGACGGUACCCCCUGAGGAAGCCCCGGCUAACUACGUGCCAGCAGCCGCGGUAAGACGUAGGGGGCGAGCGUUGUCCGGAAUUACUGGGCGUAAAGGGCGUGUAGGCGGCUUUUCAAGUCGGCUGUGAAAUUCCCCGGCUUAACCGGGGGGGUGCAGUCGAAACUGGAGGGCUUGAGUGCAGGAGAGGGUGGUGGAAUUCCCGGUGGAGCGGUGACAUGCGUAGAUAUCGGGAGGAACACCGGUGGCGAAGGCGACCUCCUGGCCUGUUACUGACGCUGAGGCGCGAAAGCCGGGGGAGCAAACAGGAUUAGAUACCCUGGUAGUCCCGGCCGUAAACUCUGGGUACUAGGUGUAGGGGGCUUCGAUGCCUUCUGUGCCGUAGUUAACGCAUUAAGUACCCCGCCUGGGGAGUACGAUCGCAAGGUUGAAACUCAAAUGAAUUGACGG
rnacentral:rRNA from 1 species